UGAAACCUCUGAUUGUGUUUGUGGCUGUAUAUUGGCUCAAACCUGACCUUGGUUGGGUUAAACUUAAUGUGGAUGGCUAUAGUAAAAGGAACCCGGGAUCUUCAGGAGGGGGUGGCAUUAUUAGAGAUCAUAAUGGAUCCGUGAUAUGUGCUUUUCUUUGAGUAUUAUGGGGAUUGCCGUAACAAUCUUGCAGAAGCUAAGGCAAUGCUUAGAGAGAGGGUAACAACACUGCAGACAUCUUUGGCAAAUCUAGGAGAGAAGGCCAAGAAUACAUUUAUCUUCAGUGGGACUGUUUCCAUUCCUUCUAAUAUUAGAGCCUCAAAAAGUUAGAAACUGAUGGACUACCAAACUUCAGAUUCAGAAAAAAGAAGAACAAAUAUGUCAUCCAUGACAGUGGAUAAUCUUUUGUUAAUACUCUCCACUAUGUACAUAGCAUCACUUAGCGAUGCUGCAAAUCACUUGGAGGAUUCCCAACACUAUUAUGCACAUGGUGGAUAUUUUUGCUUUCUUAUUUAUCAUAGGUUGGUGAUAGCCAAUUCUCAUCCUGUUUUGGAGGCUAAGGUUUAUGUCCUCCUCCGUGUAAUUAUGAUUUUUGGUAAAUAUACAGGUUGGAGUCA